rnacentral:rRNA from 1 species
AGAGCGAACGCUGGCGGCAGGCCUAACACAUGCAAGUCGAGCGCCCGUAGCAAUACGGGAGCGGCAGACGGGAGAGUAACACGUGGGAACGCGCCCUUCGGUUCGGAAUAACUCAGGGAAACUUGAGCUAAUACCGGAUACGCCCUUACGGGGAAAGAUUUAUUGCCGAAGGAACGGCCCGCGUCCGAUUAGCUUGUUGGUGAGGUAACGGCUCACCAAGGCGACGAUCGGUAGCUGGUCUGAGAGGAUGACCAGCCUCACUGGGACUGAGACACGGCCCAGACUCCUACGGGAGGCAGCAGUGGGGAAUAUUGGACAAUGGGCGCAAGCCUGAUCCAGCCAUGCCGCGUGGGUGAUGAAGGCCCUAGGGUUGUAAAGCCCUUUCGGGCGGGGAAGAUAAUGACGGUACCCGCAGAAGAAGCCCCGGCUAACUUCGUGCCAGCACGCCGC